rnacentral:tRNA from 1 species
GACGGUUUCGCCGAGUGGUCUAAGGCGCCAGAUUUAGGCUCUGGUCCGAAAGGGCGUGGGUUCAAAUCCCACAGUCGUCA